UACGGAGGAUCCAAGCGUUAUCCGGAUUUAUUGGGUUUAAAGGGUGCGUAGGCGGCCUAUUAAGUCAGGGGUGAAAGACGGUAGCUUAACUAUCGCAGUGCCUUUGAUACUGAUGGGCUUGAAUGUACUAGAGGUAGGCGGAAUGUGACAAGUAGCGGUGAAAUGCAUAGAUAUGUCACAGAACACCGAUUGCGAAGGCAGCUUACUAUGGUAUUAUUGACGCUGAGGCACGAAAGCGUGGGGAUCAAACAGG
rnacentral:rRNA from 1 species